rnacentral:tRNA from 1 species
GUUUUAAUAAUUUAAUUAAAAUAUUAAUCUUGUAAAUUAAAAAUAAAGUUUAACUUUUUAAAACA